UACCGAAGUUUGGGAUUAGAGAAUAAUACUCUUGAACUAUCUGGAACUAAUCACAUAUCACAAAGUGGUUUGUUAUUUUGUGGCUGUUACAUUCAUGAAUAUUGAAAUGAUCACAUGGUAAUUUUUAAAUUGCAGAGAAAUUCUGUUAAUUAAGAAAUUCUAAUUAUUUGUAUAAGAUAGAAUGACAGUUUAACUUUGGGCCAAAUAUGAACAAAUGGUUUCCUCAGGAAAUAGUUAUCAAAACAAAAAUAUAUGGGGCAUUUUAAACCUGAGAAUAAACUCUUCUGAAAUAGAAAAGGAAUUAUGGGUGCUAUUGUUCCUUAUUAAGUCUUGAUUCUAAGAAUUUCUGCUUGCCAAAAUUUUGUUAAAUAUAUUCAUCCAAUUAUUAACAUUUCUUAAAAAUAAUAGCACUCUAUUUUGAAUUAUCCUAAAGUCCAGCCUUUUGUUUCAAACUGACCUUUCCCUAACUAGGUCCAAGUUGGAGGUUACUCUAGUAAAUAUGCUUUUAAUGGCUUGCUAUAUUCAUGACAGUUUCAAAGAUAGUCAUCCAUUUCAAUCCCAAAGGUAAGCUUUCCUUUACUCUUGAGUUGUUGGGCCGAUUCUAAAUACUUCUUAGAAAAUGAGAUUAUGCAUAUUUCCUCUGCAGACUAUUCUAAUAUUUACUGUCCUGUGAAUAUUAUUUAAGUGUCAUUAAGUCCACUUAACUCCCAAAUUUUCAGAGAAGAAUUCAAGCUUGCUCGCAUUUCUUUUAUCAUGGAGUAUGCAUACAGACCACUAUUUUAACAUUUUCCGUCAAAAUAAGUAGGUAGCAAUAUUUUGCACUUGUUUACACUUGAAAGAACCAGGAGCAUUUUGGAUUAUCAUCAGCAAAUGGACAUUGUUCUUUUUGGAAGCCAUUUCUCGCACCUAAAAAGUGUGUUUUGACCACAAGUUACUUAAACUAGGUUCAGAGACUCACAAAUUAUGACAGCAGCUGAAUUUUUUUUUUGAUUGAAUGUGCUAAGUGGCUUUUUAUUCUUGAUAUGUUUGAUUAUCUACUUUGAACAGCCUUAUAAUGGAACUAGUUAAAAUGUCAUUCAAUGUUCUUACAAUGGAGAAGUAACUUUUUUAUGAAGCAGACAAUAAUGUUUAAGUGAUAACUACUUCUGUUACUAAAUAUGCUUAUAAAACAUUUCCCUAAGUUUUAACUUAAUUUUGGGGGAUGGUGAGUGAAGUCUCCUUUAUUUUAAUUAUUUGUAGACCCCAGUACCAGUCAUAAUAUCUCUGUUUCUCUUACAGCAGGAAAACAUAGGCCUUGCAUGGAAAUUCUUAAGAAAUGUCAAAGAGUCACUCCUGUUGGAAAGGUGUGGAUUGUGAUGUUGUGAACAGGAUUGUGCAGGAAAAUGACAUUGUCUAGGAUGGAGGAAAAAGGCCAUGACCCAUGUCAGAUGUGAGCAGCUACAGACCUCUUCUUGGAACUGUGGCUGCCUGAUGGGUUCAACCACUAACUCUUCCAUGAGUCCAACAGAGGACUGGAGAUAUGGGAUUGAGAAGGAAAGUUCCACGUUUGCAGGGUAGAAUGAUGGAUUCAGCCUGAAUGGAGACAAUGAUCAUCGGCAACCUCCACACCUCCACCAAAUUUCCUUUUGGGGAGAGAGAGACUUCCCCCACCGUUCCCUCUGGAGGAGGCUGGGGCCUAAGUAGGAGCCACAGAGGGAGUCCUCCAGAAAAAUGAAAGAAAGACAUAUGGCUGUAGAGUGGGAUCACUGUUGUCUCAAACUCAUUGAAAUAUUUCUGCUCAUUAUUCAAUGGACUCUGUUGCUGAAGGUAUGUGGCUCAUCAAAACCCUCAAGUAGCUAUUUAGGCACCUCUCUGCCAAAGUACUAACCAAAUCAACUAAUAGGUUUAAAAAUAUGCUAAUUUGAGUUUUACCAUUUUUUUCUGUUUAAGACACACACCAGCUUAGAAAAAGAUUUUUAAGAAUCUGCAUAAUGCCCAAACUAGGAAAAUGCUCAAAAAUGAAAUGGUAAAUUGAAAGAAAGCCACAUGAGGUGCUUAAUCUCUAGCUUUCCUCUCCAGCCAAAUUAACCCCAAAUUUCCAGAAAAGAAAAAUCAAGUGUGUCGUAUGCUUCACUCUUCAAGUUCAUGAGAGCUGUAGCAGAAAGGAUUGAGGUUAGAUUGGCCAGCCAUAUAGAUCUUAUCCUUUUCCCCAACAGAGAGAUUCUUUUUAUUUUCUCUCGCAGCAGAGGUGUAAAGUGUAAAGUUUGAGUAGAGGAAUCCUCUGGCCUCUUUCUUCUGGGUCUGUGUCAGCAUCACAGCAAAGCCCCGGGCAGAAACUCACUUGAGUAGAGCCUUAAUGCUGCUCCAAGUAGCAUGGUUCCCAGGCACACAUGCAUACGGUGCAGGCCAUUCAAAACCAGCUGGGAUGUCGUCUGGUUUGCGUUUGGCUCUCUUCCCAGGCUCUCACAUGUGACUUCUUUGUUGCAGACAAUGACAGUGACAAAACAAAAGCACUCGGGGAUUUGGUCUCAGUUGCAUCUGUUGCUUUGCUCAUUGUCUUAAUUUAAUUACUCUGGCCACCCUUGACAAUGGGUGGCGAGCGGAGGCAUGUUGGAAGCAGCCAGAGCUGGCACCCACCUUCAAUGCUUCUUGAAGUGUUAUGAAACUGUCCCACAUUCAGCCAAGCAAAAACUUUUCACUUCAACAGCUUGGCCAAGACAAACAAACCAGCUGUAACUGUUUCUAGUAGGCAACUAGACAGAUUUUUGAAAGGAAAACAGUAGUGAGUAAAUACUGUUUCCUAUUGACACCAGGGAAGGUAAGAUUAUUAAAAAACAAAAACAAAAACAAAUGUUGGUCCUCUAGCCCACCGGGGAUGGUUGAAGAAAAGUGUCAGUGUGAAGGAAGGGUUAAUCAACUCAUAAGGGAAUAAGUGGGAGAAGGGCUUAAUUUGCAAUAUACAUUAUUAUACAUUGUGUAUCAUACACAGAUAUUUGGCCCUGAAGAGGUAAUUCACAUUCUCCCAUUAUCUCUUGGCUCUUAUCCUAGCUCUAGCUUUUCAAAGGAAAGCUAGCCACAAACUUUUUGAUUAAAAAGAUCUCUGAGAACUCAUAACAAUGGCAAUAAAAAUAAUCUUGAUGAACCUUUUCAGGCACUUUACAGUUUACAUAGUAAUCUCAAGUGAGGUAAUUUUAUUUGCAUCAGUGUCAUUUAUAAUCUAAGACUCACUAAGAUUUAGUGGCUUGAGGUCACAUAGACAAAUUGAUAGACCUAGAACUAACAAAAAACAAAUUAUUACUUUAAUAAAAUCACAUUCCAUCACUUGGACAUUUAUUAUGUGCUGGACACUGUAUUAUGUAUGUUAAUUGUACGUAUUUUCUUAUUUAAUUCUCCUAAUUCCCUUGGGAGUGGAUACUAAUAUCCUGCCCAAUUUACCUUUAAGGGUAAAUUCCCGAAGCUUAGGAAAGCUAAACAACUUGCCUGAUUUCUUACAGUGAAAACAUGACUGUGGUUGGGAUUUGUACCAGUUCCUUCUUAUUCUGGAGCUUAUCAAUUAGUCACUCUGCUAUAUUGCCUCCCUACUUGGUAAAACUGCAUCUUUUGCUUCAAGGUCCAAAUCUCCUUCUAAUGACAAGAAUUGAUAAUGUUAUGGGCUACCUGUGAUCCCGGAUGGUGGGAGGUGCUGGCUCAGAAGAUAAGGCAAGACUCUAAAGUGGGCAGGUGGGUGCCUUCCCUUACAGAAGUCUGAGCUGGGCCCCUUUUGUGUGGUUAUUGAUAGAGAUCUAGUAGCACAGUAUUCAGUUAGCAGAAGUUAACCCUGCGGAUAUUAUAAAUCCUUCUUUUCUCCCUAUCUUUAUGAGAUUUUGCCUGAGAGACACAAUCUAAAAGAAAGAUGAUAAUAGGCUCUUUAAAUUUCAGAGAGGAAGCAGUGAUGUUUUCAAUAGACUAUGUUUCCAUCCCCACCCACUCCAAACAAGUUAAGUAUUGUAUGACAUAAAGUCUAAGAAAAGCCUGGCACCCUAUAAAAAAUACUGGGAAAAUACUGUCCAGCAUGGAAUUAGCAGCCUAUUAUAUAACAUGAAGUCCUAACUCAGCACUGACCUUCUCUUAAAAAGGGCAGAAUGGGGGGAAGGAAAGAGGAGCAGAUGAUGGGAGAGAUGGCCCAGAGAUCAGCUCUUUACCUGUUGAGAAGGAUGUCAUCUAGCUGUCUUACUGUUUUGGCCUGGAGAAGUGUGAAAUUGUGGAGGGUGAUUUAGAUGUCUCAGUAACAACUUUGAUACAGGGAAUCACAAGUUCAAAUUCCAGGAGUGUUAGGUCAGCCUUUCCUCUCUGGGACUCAAGCACAGUAAGUGUCAUGCAAUCUACCCAGAGCUUUGGGAUGUGACUUUUAAAACCAAAGGAUAAGGUGCACAUUUUGAGAGACUUGGGCUCCUGGUGGAGUAAGGCUGCCUUUUUAACAAAGUGAGACGUAUAUAGACUAAACACAGUGUUGGUCUGCCCAGCCUCUUAUUUUUUUCUGGAAACUACCUCAUGCUACCUUUUCUGUGGUUAUGGUGAAAAUGGCCUUUUUUCAAUAUGACCCUCUUCUCUGGCCAUAGUGAAUUGUCGCAGAGCAGGCCCCUCCCCCAACCCAAGACCAAGUGUGAUAGAGAUAACAAGGCAGACCUAUCCCUGGGAGACACAAGAGUCCUUUAUUGGAGACUUUGGCUCAAUAAACUUUUCCUCAGUGGCUUUGCUGAACUUUCCUUGGACCGUGCAGUAGUCCAGGAUGCCUCCACCCAACCUUUUCUCCCCAUCUCCUGUACCCAGGGUCAGACUUGCAUUGUGUUACGAUGGCUUGCCCAGACUUCCUGCAUCCUCUCCUAUUUCCCUUUCACGAGGCAUUUUCCCUAAUAAAAUCCUUCCUCAUUUAACUCAGUCUCAGCUCUGUUUCCCCGAUGACCUGGGCUUGCCCACCUGGCUGGGAUCCCAGCUUCCCACACAGGAACUGUGUGACCUUUGACAAUUACUAUGCUGUUCUCUCCAUCUCAGUUUCCACUUCUGUAAGAUGAAAGGGUAGGCUAGGAGCACCCACCUCACAAGUGUUACAAUUGCAUGUCAUCACCCUUUCAUGUUUACCUGGCAUAGCUGUGGGCAAGAAAGUCUACUUUUUCAUGGGGCCUUGGUUGAGGGUCAUUUUGUGAACUCAUUUAGUCACAUUAGUCUAUUUGGGCUUCUGUGCUGUAUGAGUCCACGUUGGGUCUGCCUUUGUUAGAACAUUGAUGUGCCGUAGAGUAAAUUAUGUACCUGUUCACUUCCACACUAAAAACUAAGCUCCUUGAGGGCAGGUAGCAUGGUUCGUUCAUCACUGUAUCCUCCCCAGACACAUGGUGCUUUGAGUCAGGUAGCAAACGGAAUUGUUAAACUUGAUUUAAACUUUCUAAAGGAGUGGUGGAAAAGGGGUGGUAGAGUUUGGCUCAGUAGCAAGCCUUGCAUUGCUGCCUGCUGUGCUGUAUACAAGGACAAAUAGCACAAAGUCCCCUCUGUCUCAGGACUUAAAAUUGCCAGGUUGUGGUAUAAUAAAUACUAGCAAAGAAAUGCAGAAACGAGAGCACAGUUCAUGGUUAACAUACUGGGGUCCAUUUUGAGUUUGGAUUCUGGUCUGGCCACUUCUUAGAACAAGACCUUGGCAAGACAUUUAGUUUUACUCAAUCCAAGUUUUCUCAUCUACACAAUGGGAGUAAUUAUAGUAUUUAAAGGCUAGGCUAAUGGUGAAGAUUAAAUGAGGUGAUUAACUCUAGCGUUUAUACAGAGUAUGUAUCUAAUAAAUAACAGCUAUUAUUAUUGCUUAAUUAUUUAUCUUUUUGUAGUUACUGUUAUCAAAACACAUCCCAUCCUUGGGUGCUGCCUUUUCUCUAGCUUGAGAAAGACUAACUUCCGGCUGGGUGCCCAGAGCUCCCCUGAGGGCUGGGACAGCACACGUGUAGCUCUUUCUUCUAGUGACUUACACACCCCUAGGAUUUAGGGAACUUGAAUUUGUCGCAUAUUUAUUCACAGAUUAUCCUGAUUUUGCAACUUUCUUACUCUGCAAAGGAUACAAUGCAUCUGGACUCUUUUUCAAAUAUUUCUGUCUGUGAUGUAAGAAAUCACUACCAAAGUGGUUUAAAAGUCUGGAAAAAAAGAAAAAGGAAAGGAAAAAAAAAUGCUGAAGGGUGUUUUCCCUUGCUGGCAAGAGGUAUUUAUUCUACCUUUAACAGUCUUUAAGGAUGUAGUAAAAUAUUUCAGCGUUCAGGGUUGCUUAGACUGUUGAUUUUAUGGCAGUUUGUUUAGUUAGCUGUUUGUGUUUGUGUUACAUUUUUAAAUACAAAAAAAAAGUCUAAGCACACUAUCAAUCCCAGAAGGAGUUGAUUUUGGAAUUGCUGAAAGGUUCAAAUGUUGUGGUAUUUAAAAUAGUGAAACACCAAAUUCUAGCAAUUUCACUGAUAAGUGCUAAAGAUUCAGCACAUUUUUACCUAAAAACUGUAUUUGAUAAUUUUUUUUUUCUCUUAAGCCUCCAAAAUGCCAUUGUUCUAUCUGAUGUACAACUUAUGCUGGAAUACUUCAACUAGUGAAUGCAGUAAUUUAUAUUACAGUGUUUUUGGGAGUGUGGGCCCAGGGUUUUCACCUUUUAGUGUCAUUUUAAAGCAGUAGUGAUGAGUUUACAGAAUUACUCGGAAAGGGUGUUGUUCUCUUGCACUCCUUCUUUGUGUGUGUGGCAAAUCUGGGCAGAACAUUCAAAUGCUGUGUUCUAAAUUUUCCUCCUUACUGAAUUGAGAGAAAUUUUGGAAGUUUGGAAGGCUCUUCUGAACUUUUAGGAUGAACAAAAUAACACUAUGACAAGUUAAAGUUUUUUGCAUCUGUUUGAGGUUGAUGGGAGCCUUCAGCAUUUGAAAGUAAACACGCCUGCUGCCAGCCAGUGCUUUUCCAAGAUAGAACGUGGUGCAAGAACAAUGCAGACAUGUCUAUAGUUUUAAAAAAUCAGACUCAUUGCAUUAUGCUGAAAGUACUUCUAUGUUCAUUCUAGUGUUCUUUUGAAGAAGGAAACAAAUGUCAUUUGCAGAGAGACAAACCAGAGCAUCCAAUGGUGACCUAAGUCAACCAAUACCGACAAAGUAAUAAUAAUAAAGCUGUGUAUUCAUUGAUUCAUUUAUAUAUCUCAUGUUUCCUAGUCCUGCAAAGCCUCGUGAACUAUCCAAGCAUGUCACAUGCAUACCAUGACAUGAAUAUCAGAUGUUCCCAAGUCUACAACUAACUGAUGAGGAAUCUGUACCUAACCCUCAACCUGCCAUGGUCUUGCUCCUGAUCAUUUGGAAUUUUUGUCUUGCCAUAAUUGUUAUCUGUAUCUGUGAAAAUGGCACAUCAUAUUUUAACAGAGGGCAGGCUGCUUGGUCUUUGAUUAUGCGACCUCUUAAUGUUGGCCAGACCAAAAGCCCCAUGUGAACAUUCAUAUGUUUUACACAGAGUUUUGUAAGAACGUUUGGCAUAUGAAUGACACCUGGGCUAUUUGGCCAGUUUGGGCUUGAGGUAAAAUAUCUUGGUCUUUCAUUGGGAACUUCGGAAUGAUUUUACCACAUAAGAGUUGUCACCAUGCCCAGCCUUUCUUAUGUGUCUUGCUCUUUACAUUCCCACCUUCCUAUAAAAAUUCUGACCCUGCCAGUUAAAGGAGCCAAAGAGGAUAGUAUAAACCAUUGCUUCCUCCUUUCCCGAGCGGCAGUGACUUAUACCUGCUCAAAUAAAUAUAUGUUUCUUUUUUUGAUGCAGUGGGAGCAAAAGCUUAUGCCAGAGUGAAUAGAGGAAGUUAGAGAUUCAUUGUUAUGGAAGAGAACAGUAGUGGAAAAGGCACUUGGUUUUUUUUGCCAGUGAUCCGCAUCUCUAACAGAAGUAGGGGCAGGACAUGCUGGAAGGACGGCUGUCUAGAUGCACUGACCACUGCUUGUGCUGGGUCAGGAAUUAGACCUGAAAGUUUCUGAAGUUGCAGAUUGGUUCUAUGUGAUAGUUACUGGUUUCUGACCUGGAGAGCCACUCUCUAUAGAUAAGAUUGGAAGUGGCUAAAGUCCCUGGAUUCUUAGAAGAUACAAUAGAAAACAAAACAAAACAACAAAACUUCUUUCUGCUCCUUCAAUAACGUCCCCUUUAUUUCCUGAAUAAUUCAUUCAGGACUGGAACCAGACCUUCGGGAAGACAAAGGAAUGCAGUUUCUCCUGAAUGAUGAUUAGUUUUUACACAAGAAUUUACCUUCAAUGAAAGAAAAGCCAGGAAACUGUAUUUACCUAUAAAUUUGGAAAAUGAUUCACCCCAAUUCCCUAGGGGGUUACAAUGAUGCUAGAACACAAAACUAUACAAACACAUGCACACAUACACACAUGUGCACACUCAUACACACACAAAGUAAAGAAGAGAAAGUAAUGCCCUUUUUCCAAAAAAUAUUUGCUGUAAUUAAUUGCAGAUUGCAAAUUAUUUCCAACAAUACUUGGAAUUAAAAUUAGUUGGAUACACCUUUAGCAUUCUGUUCUAUCAAAUCUUCACUUUUUCAAAAGGGUUAGUUUAGUUUCCUGACCAAUGGAACCAUUAUAGUUAAUAAAGAUGGGAAUUUUCCAAAAUGUUUUCUAGCUCUUGUUACUUAUCUAGCAAUAGCCCAUUACAGCUGUAAUUGUGUUCCUUGUAUGGUGAGAACUUUCUUAACUGUUCUCCAGAAGGACCAGACAUGGACUCAUAGACCUGUUGCCCCAUAUCUCUUCUAAUUACCCUGCUCUUAAUUUCCAUUUCUCUCUGCUUGAGUGUAACAUAAGUCUGUAUUUCUAAAUCAUAUCUAAAGGUUGCUGGAUAAAAGUAAGGUAGGAAAAAAGGCUUUAAAAGAGUCCCAUUAAAGAUGAACCCCAAAUAUGUGGGCAUCAGGAAAAGGUGCUCAGAUUUCAGCUAGGCUUUUGAGGAUGGAGAAGCUGAUAUUGACCUUGCAAAUCUGGAAGUUUAAUGGCCACUGAAGAACUUUGAUUACCUCAUCUGCUCCUUCCUUAGUGGACUUGUCUAGCUUAGGUCAAUAAAUACCAUCACUGAUUUUCAAAGGGAAUCAGUAGUUGGGCUUUUGAUCACUGAGAUGAGUUUACAGCCUGAGGAAUUCUACAGUGGAUAAUCCAAACCUCAUAAAAGAACCUUCUGCUUCAUCUAAAAUGAUUUAUCUUUUCCUUGCUACCAAAGGCUUUCACUUAAACUCAGACUAUCAACCUUGCCCUUGGAUUAAAAUUAGCUCCCUAUUAUCUAGUAAAUAUUGCCAAAAGCUCUAGUCCCUUCAGAUACACAAGCAAAAAGAAUAAACCUCAUCUUCCCCCAUGGAUGCUAACAUGCUAACAGACUUGAGAAACUGCAAAAUGUAUUACUUAAGAGAACAUUGUUUCCUGUUGGUGCUUGAUGGGAGGGAGGUGGUCAGGCAUGGAGAGGAGCCAUGGAAAGGGGCUCUUUAGGAGCGAUUUUUUCCCCUCCUUUUCCACCAUUGCAUCCUAACAGAACACACAUUAGAAGCUGUAUGAGGUUUUGUUUGUUUUCAAGAGAUAUUUGAAAGAAGAUCAAAUGCUUGUGAAAGGCACUGUAUUGGCCUCCCUAGAAACUGAAAUGUCCCGGAAGCCGUGUGAGCCCGGAAACAUCCCACAUUUCUAUUUGUUUUGGCAAUUUUACUUAAAACUAGUAAGAGCUGGAAUUCAUGCUACAAUUAAAUUUUCCUCAGGCACCAUGAAAUGAAAACACGUAUUACAUUUGAUUUUAACUGGUUGAGAAAAAUGGUGGUUUUCAGAAAGUUCAUUCUAUGACCUUGAAAUAGAAGUUAACAAUUCCUCAUCUGGGAGAGCAGAGCUUCCAUUUAAGUUGGAAUUAUUCAUAGAAUUGGGGUUCUCUGGGUUGAAAGGGGUCUCAGGUCAUUGAGUUCUCUUCUCCUAUCAUGUGUUUGAAACUCUACGAGCACAUUGCCAAAAAGUGUUGGCACACUUGGACUUGAAGUCUUUAGCAAUAGGAGACUUGCUUCCACUUGAGAUCUAUUUUUUUUAGAUGGCUCUAAUUUUUAGAAGGAGAUAAAAUAAUGUUAACUUGAACUAUCAUAGUGAUUAUGGUGUGCCAGACACUAUUAUUAAGCACUAUAAUAUAUAUUUGUGCAUACACAUGCUCACGUAGACAUUUAUAUGUAUUAUCUCAAUAAAUCCUCACAACUGUAUGAGGUAGAUUCAAUUAUUAUCCCUGUUUGACAGAUAAGGAAGCUGAGGCAAGAUGUAAAUUACAUGGUUUUCCCAAGGCCACACAGCCAAUAAGUGAGAGCCAGGAUCUGAACCCAGGCAGGGUGAGUGACUUUAGAAUCUGUACGCUUAGCCACUACAUUUUAUUGCCUCUCCAAUCUUUAUAACACUCCUUUAUGCUAAUACAGAGGUUUGCACAUUGCAGGUACUAAAUAUUUUUCAGUAAUUUUAUUUCAGGGUCAUGAUUCCUUACAUAUUUCCAUUAGUUUGUACACAACUGUCAGUUUGCCCUGAGGGAAACAGAUGAAACACUAUAAUUUUGAAUGAUCAUUAAUACUCUGCCUACUUCAACAAAGCAUUAAGGGGACUAAUAUGUAUGUAACAUUCACUAUAGAGUUCUCAGUCAGUUGCUACCUUUAGAAGUAUGCUUGUGAAAUGAUUUCACUUGAGGCUGGAGAAGAAAAUUUCAAACAUGCAAGAUUCACAUAAGCAUGAU